rnacentral:rRNA from 1 species
UGAAUGGUUUGACGAGAGCUAUGCUGUCUCUUUCGAAAUAUUUAAAAAUUAACCUUUAGGUGAAGAGGCCUGAAUUUAUUUAAGGGACAAGAAGACCCUGUUGAGCUUUAGUGAUUUUAUAAAUUUACAGGUAAUCUAGUUAAUGAUUAUAGUUCGGUAUAUUAAUAUAUAACAUAGGUUUAUAGGUAAUCUUUAGUUGGGGCGACUGAGGAACACAUAAAGCUUCCUUGAAUUUAAGAGCGUGUUAAGCAAUUUAGUUUACUGAUGCAUUUAUGUUAAUUUUGAUCCAAUUUAUUUUGAUUAAGAGAAAAAGUUACCACAGGGAUAACAGCGUAAUCUUUCUGGAGAGAUCUAAUCNAAAGAAGGGUUUGCGACCUCGAUGUUGGACUAAGAUAUCCUGAGGGUGUAGAAGUUCUCAAAGGUUGGUCUGUUCNACCAUUAAAAUCUU